rnacentral:tRNA from 1 species
GCGGUCGUAAGCCUAAUUUGGUAAGGCAGCGGUUUGCUAAACCGUGAGUAAUCGAGCAAUCGGUGUGGGAGUUCGAGUCUCCCCGACCGCGCCA